rnacentral:rRNA from 1 species
AGAGUUUGAUCCUGGCUCAGGAUGAACGCUAGCGGCAGGCCUAAUACAUGCAAGUCGAACGGUGAUAGCAAUAUCAUAGUGGCGCACGGGUGCGUAACACGUAUGCAACCUACCUAUUAUUGGGGGAUAGCCUUUGGAAACGGAGAUUAAUACCGCAUAAUACGAUUGACUGGCAUCGGUUGAUUGUUAAAGCUUCGGCGAUAAUAGAUGGGCAUGCGUCCAAUUAGUUAGUUGGUUAGGUAACGACUGACCAAGACAAUGAUUGGUAGGGGAUCUGAGAGGAUAAUCCCCCACACUGGCACUGAGAUACGGGCCAGACUCCUACGGGAGGCAGCAGUAGGGAAUAUUGGGCAAUGGGCGGAAGCCUGACCCAGCCAUGCCGCGUGCAGGAAGAAGGCGUUAUGCGUUGUAAACUGCUUUUUUAUAGGAAGAAGGAUCCCUUGCGAGGGAAGGUGACGGUACUAUAAGAAUAAGCACCGGCUAACUCCGUGCCAGCAGCCGCGGUAAUACGGAGGGUGCAAGCGUUGUCCGGAUUUAUUGGGUUUAAAGGGUGCGUAGGCGGUUUAUUAAGUCAGUGGUGAAAGACGGUCGCUCAACGAUUG